GUGGGGAAUUUUGGACAAUGGGCGCAAGCCUGAUCCAGCAAUGCCGCGUGUGUGAAGAAGGCCUUCGGGUUGUAAAGCACUUUUGGCAGGAAAGAAAUAGUGCGUGCUAAUACCAUGCGCGAAUGACGGUACCUGCAGAAUAAGCACCGGCUAACUACGUGCCAGCAGCCGCGGUAAGACGUAGGGUGCAAGCGUUAAUCGGAAUUACUGGGCGUAAAGCGUGCGCAGGCGGUUUUGUAAGACAGGUGUGAAAUCCCCGGGCUCAACCUGGGAACUGCACUUGUGACUGCAAGGCUAGAGUGGGUCAGAGGGAGGUGGAAUUCCGCGUGUAGCAGUGAAAUGCGUAGAGAUGCGGAGGAACACCGAUGGCGAAGGCAGCCUCCUGGGAUAACACUGACGCUCAGGCACGAAAGCGUGGGGAGCAAACAGGAUUAGAAACCCCGGUAGUCC
rnacentral:rRNA from 1 species